rnacentral:rRNA from 1 species
UACGUAGGGGGCUAGCGUUGUCCGGAUUUAUUGGGCGUAAAGAGCGUGUAGGCGGCCAGGUAGGUCUGGUGUGAAAACUCGAGGCUUAACCUCGAGAUGUCAUCGGAAACCAUCUGGCUAGAGUCCGGAAGAGGAGAGUGGAAUUCCUGGUGUAGCGGUGAAAUGCGCAGAUAUCAGGAAGAACACCAAUGGCGAAGGCGACACGCUGGGCCGUACCUGACACUGAUGCGCGACAGCAUGGGGAGCAAACAGG